rnacentral:rRNA from 2 species
UGGAGCCGACCUUGAAAUACCACCCUUUAAUGUUUGAUGUUCUAACGUGGACCCGUGAUCCGGGUUGCGGACAGUGUCUGGUGGGUAGUUUGACUGGGGCGGUCUCCUCCUAAAGAGUAACGGAGGAGCACGAAGGUUGGCUAAUCCUGGUCGGACAUCAGGAGGUUAGUGCAAUGGCAUAAGCCAGCUUGACUGCGAGCGUGACGGCGCGAGCAGGUGCGAAAGCAGGUCAUAGUGAUCCGGUGGUUCUGAAUGGAAGGGCCAUCGCUCAACGGAUAAAAGGUACUCCGGGGAUAACAGGCUGAUACCGCCCAAGAGUUCAUAUCGACGGCGGUGUUUGGCACCUCGAUGUCGGCUCAUCACAUCCUGGGGCUGAAGUAGGUCCCAAGGGUAUGGCUGUUCGCCAUUUAAAGUGGUACGCGAGCUGGGUUUAGAACGUCGUGAGACAGUUCGGUCCCUAUCUGCCGUGGGCGCUGGAGAACUGAGGGGGGCUGCUCCUAGUACGAGAGGACCGGAGUGGACGCAUCACUGGUGUUCGGGUUGUCAUGCCAAUGGCACUGCCCGGUAGCUAAAUGCGGAAGAGAUAAGUGCUGAAAGCAUCUAAGCACGAAACUUGCCCCGAGAUGAGUUCUCCCUGAGACUUAAAGUCUCCUGAAGGAACGUUGAAGACGACGACGUUGAUAGGCCGGGUGUGUAAGCGCAGCGAUGCGUUGAGCUAACCGGUACUAAUGAACCGUGAGGCUUAACCUUACAACGCCGAAG